ACAAACUCUGCCCAUUUUCUCACCUACUUUCUCCAGCCUAUUAAGGUGGCUUCUGAUCCCAGUGGCUUCCCCUGCCCUCUCUUGGGUGAUUUCCCAGUAAGCUACGUCACUUGGUUGUUAAUCCAAAGGCACCCAUCAGCUUCUUGUUGUACUAAUUGCCUCCCAUCGUCUGCCCACACAGUCUCAGAAAGAUCAUAAGAUAAGGAACUUAACCUAAAACCUCAAGUUUCCUGAUUUUGAGCCCGUUUGGAACCUACUUGUUACCUCCGGAAGUAGCACACCUGCUGAAAAUCCCUGGUAUAUUGUGUUGUUACUCUUGCCCAGUACUUGUCACGUCAUCUUAAUUGGUUGGCUCAUUAGCCUUGUGAAGUAGAUAUUGCAAUUACUCCUGUUCUUCAGAUGAGGAAACAGAGCCUCAGAA